ensembl:lncRNA
AUUAAAGGUUCAUUUAAAAACUAUUUCUUUUCUCCUGGAAGGUGAAUAAUAGUUUUCACUUGCACUGCUGCAGCCCUUCAUAACAUGUUUUAUUUGCAUAUAUAAUUUGGUUAGCUGGCAUUACUUCAAACUUAAUAUUAUUCAUUUUUGGUGAGUAAAGAACAAUCUGGGCCCUGAUCCUUUACAUUAAUCUCAUAAAUUAAGCACACUGGAUAAAAUCUUGUCCUCAUUGAUGUUGACAGCAAAACUGCCAUGGAUGUCAUUUGGGCCAGGGUUUCACCUGCUCCUCGUGUGCUUAAACGCACACCUGAGUCCCUGUUUUACUGACGUGCUGUGUGCUGGGCUCUCCUUGUGUUCAGCCAGCAACUCCUAUCCUCCAAUAGUGAUGUGAAGACCUCAGGAGACAGUCUGUUGAAAAAUCAAAGGCCUAUUGCAAAAAUACUGAGCUGUUUUUCACUUUCCAGGAGCUGAACAAGUUAAAGGAGUGAAAUCCUGGCUGCCCACACCACUUGCACGUGAUGGUUACUCAGGGAUGGAAGCUGGGCUGAGUCCUUCCCAAAGGUUGUGCGAAGGGCAGCGACUGCAUCCGAAUGGCAGGAGUCUCCGCGCUCAAAGCAGAGAUCAUCUUCCCUGCACCACCUGGCUACUCUGCAAAUUAAUCUUUGGACGCCUGAAGAUGGGCACCCAGAAAAUGAGCCUGAAUCUAGCUAAUGCUUCAGAAGUGUAUAUAAGUAAUAACUAAGAUACUCCUUCACAACUGCAAAUGGCAACCAUGUAAGGAUGGUAUCAAAAACCUCACACUCUCCAGACAGUGGCCUGGGAGGCAUGCACCCUCUGAGCCCCCCAGAAUAGUAGAGCCAGCCCACCUAUGGAGGUUGGACCAAGACACAAGCACUGGUGGCAGGGCAAUGCUGCAGUAUCUUGAGGCCGGACAGAGACCUAUUAACUAAGAAAAAGCUGAAGGUCUGGAUGUGCUGCCAUGGCAGGGGGCUGGAGUGUACGUCUGUGAUUAAAAAGCAAGUGUUGCUUGUGGUAGCCCAUAAAUACAGCACUCGGCAUCUCUCACCCUCCCGGUAGACCUAGAUACUGGGAAGUUUUAACUCCAUUUUAAUACGGAUAUAUAUCCCUGACUGAAAUAAUAAUAUGCAGGGUAGUUUUUCAAGAGGCUUACUGGACGUGAAAACAAGUUCCUGGCUUUUCCCCUUUCAUGGAAGCGAGCUGAAGGUCAGAUUUACAACGUUUCAAGCUGCAUUCUGUGCUCAUUUACACAGCUGUAAUCUUGAGUUAUGCCACCCAGGACAAGGAAUUGCUCCAGACUUACAGGGAUAUAGCUGACAGCAGAAUUUAGCUCGGGGUUGCCAAAGCUCGAUAGAGAAGGAGCUGUGAGGGUGGAAUUUGGUGCUCUUGAAGUAGCUUGUGUACGUUCAAGGAAUGCAAGAGCCCCAAGAUUUAUUAGUAGUGUUGCAGAGCAUUAUUGAAAUUAGGCUUAAUUAUCUGUGUAAUUUGCUGGAACCAGCAUUUUAGCAUUUUUGAUCAAGUAUAUGCCAUUAAUUUUAAAAAGAGAUAUACCAAGCUGCUCUCAGAAACUGAAAUAAAAAGAUUUAAAGAAGAAAGUCA